UUGAAUUAGGCUAAUUAAUUUGAUCUAAUAAUUAAGAGAUGGAACUUCAUUUAAGCGUCAUAUAUAAGGCCCUCAUUACAGAAUUUCGCGUGGAAAGUAAUUCUUUGUUUUUCUUAUUUUAGUUACAAAAAGUUGAAAUGAAAACAUAUUCAGCUUUGCAAAGGAGAAAAAAAAUAAGAAGAAGAAAACUGGAAAUUUGACCACAACUAU
rnacentral:lncRNA from 1 species